UCCCCCUCUCUCAGGUGGAUGUCAGCUGCCACCAUUUCACCGUGGUUGCCCUUUCUUCUGCCGUGAAAGUACAAGACAGAUGGAAAGAUUCCGCAGUGGUCUGCAAGUACAAGGAGUACUCGACAACCUUACUGAGAUAACUAGCACCUGUACUAAAAGCAAUCAAGGUCAAAGAAGAGACGCGGACAAAACAGGACAAACUGGCGUCGCUUCCGUGUGUUUUCCAGGUUUUCCCAGGAAGCAUCAGCAGCCUUGUAACUAGUGACAGUGAGUCCUGAGGUGGUUUUGGUGAGUUACUGCUUCAAUAAUGUAUUUUUAUUGGAUGUAUAUAAACAUGGGCACACCCUUUUAGUGUAAAGUGAAUUGUUGAGAUUUAUUCUUUAUUUUUCAUUUUGCUUUUUGAAGUUUUCCACUUCACUUUCAGCUUUAUUCACCAAACGAGCAAGAUGCAAAGCAGCAGCAGCAGCGCAAGGGCUGUAGCUGUUGCGGUGGAUCCGUAAGCGUAGAUUCUGAUUGCGUACGACCUCGUCCCGCAGCCUCCCAGGGUUAUCUCCCUGCAGCAGUGCUGUAAGGAAGGGAGGAGACGUUUUCCAACACCGGCAAGAGUGUUUACUUGUAUGCUAAGAAGGUGUUCAAAAUGGUAUCGAUUAGCCUAAAUGCUGAUUUUAAGCGUUCAAAUCGCUCUUAACUUUUAAAGGAGGUGGUGUAUUUCGAGCUGACCUGUUUACCUGGAAUCCUCCUUUAGCUCAGCGACUCUUCUUGUGCACCCCCAGCCUCCGCUGGCAGGGCGGUAUGAGAAGCUGGAAGGUCCUUGACUUAGUAUAAACACUGCUUAGCAACAACUAAA